rnacentral:rRNA from 1 species
AGUGAACGCUGGCGGUAGGCCUAACACAUGCAAGUCGAACGGCAGCACAGUAAGAGCUUGCUCUUACGGGUGGCGAGUGGCGGACGGGUGAGGAAUACAUCGGAAUCUACUUUUUCGUGGGGGAUAACGUAGGGAAACUUACGCUAAUACCGCAUACGACCUACGGGUGAAAGCAGGGGAUCUUCGGACCUUGCGCGAUUGAAUGAGCCGAUGUCGGAUUAGCUAGUUGGCGGGGUAAAGGCCCACCAAGGCGACGAUCCGUAGCUGGUCUGAGAGGAUGAUCAGCCACACUGGAACUGAGGCACGGUCCAGACUCCUACGGGAGGCAGCAGUGGGGAAUAUGGGACAAGGGGCGCAAGCCUGAUCCAGCCAUACCGCGUGGGUGAAGAAGGCCUUCGGGUUGUAAAGCCCUUUUGUUGGGAAAGAAAAGCAGCAGGUUAAUACCCCGCUGUUCUGACGGUACCCAAAGAAUAAGCACCGGCUAACUUCG